GCUAUAAUAUACAAGCUGCCAAAGACAGCAGGAGAUAGUUUAUCGUAACAGGGUUCGCCCUUCCUGCCGAGGUUCCGCACAAAUGGUAACAUUUCUGUGUCCUCACGUCUUUGGCGUGAGGACAUUUUAUUUUCAGAG
rfam:Firmicutes bacterium CAG:124 genomic scaffold, scf122